rnacentral:rRNA from 1 species
UACGUAGGGGGCAAGCGUUGUCCGGAAUUAUUGGGCGUAAAGGGCGCGUAGGCGGUGCCACAAGUCACCUGUGAAAUCUCCGGGCUUAACUCGGAGCCUGCAGGCGAAACUGUGGUGCUGGAGUGUGGGAGAGGUGCGUGGAAUUCCCGGUGUAGCGGUGAAAUGCGCAGAUAUCAGGAGGAACACCGGUGGCGAAGGCGGGUCUCUGGGCAACUACUGACGCUGGAGGAAGCGAAAGCGUGGGGAGCGAACAGG